rnacentral:tRNA from 1 species
GGGGUUGUGGCUCAGUGGUAGAGCUCUUGCCUAGCAUGCACGAGGCACUGGAUUUGAUCCUCAGCACCCCA